AGUUUCCCAUGACCUCAGCCCCACCGCACAUCCCUAAUUUCUACUACUAUAAAUAGGGAUGCAGAAUUCUCGAAAUCUCACAGCUUCACUCGAUUCAACCUUCUGCUUCCUCACACACACAAGCAGCAACUAUGAUUUCAUCCCAUAUAUUUCUCUAUAAUUUGAAGCCCAGUUGUUGUUCUCAAACGGUGGUAGCCCGUCUUCUGUGUUUCGGGGAAGCACGCAACGUCAAGAAAGGAGGGGAUCUGAUGGGAGUUGACAUAGUGCUUCUUGAUGAGUAGUCCACACUGCUGCAAGGGUGCACCGGCUUCACACUUUCAAACACCUUCUGAAAGAGGGAGACAUUUACGAGAUCAGUGGCUUUCAUGUUGCAAGAACUAUCACCCACUUCAAGCUGUCAGAUUCAACCGUAGUCCAUUGAAACAACCAAUGGCUGGUUCUACAUUUAAUGCUCAAAAUGUUCUCGGAAGCUUCAGCGUGGCCUAUCUUGAUUCACAUGUACAUCAUGUCACACUAGCGCUGUAUCGUGUGGAAAUUUCCAUGACAGAUGCGACAGACUCGGCUGUGUUUGUGUUGUUUGACUAAGAGAUGUCUAAGUUAGUGUGCUUGCGGCAGAAGUCGUCGAGUUCAUGGUUGCAGGUGUUGGCGACCCCCUUGAGCUUCCACCUUUUACCUAAGAAAGUGUUGGGAAAACAUACAAGUUCCAGCUGAGCUACUAAAGUUCAAUUUUUCCACAAAGCAUCAGACCUUCACUGUGUCACACAUCUUUGAUAUGCCAUUAUCGCAAAUCACAGAGGGAACUAUUUUCCAGGAGAUGAAAUGUCUGCUGCUAAAUGUCUCUCUUGCAACUGCACUGAUGGUCGAAGGUCAAGUGGUAAUGUCCAGAGCAACAAAAUUGAUGGAAAACCUUCGGACCAGGCGAGCCCAUCUGGUGGAGAAGUUUCAGCUGCACAACACAAUUGGGAGGGGAGCGUUCUAGAUGCAGGUCCGGUUCAAGUUGCAUGCAACAAACACCCCAAAGAAGUCAUGCACCGGAUAGUUGAUUAAUCUAUUGACCUUGAGACCUCACUCUUUCUCUUUUGGUUCCUUGCAGUGUUGUUUUACAUGUCUGGUAUUUCUCUCAAGCUCCAUUUAAAUGAUGUUUUU